GACUGCCGUAGGCCUGACAUAGGAAAAUGUUACCCAGUAGACCAACCUUGCCUGCCCCCUUUUCCUGUGGAAUGCCAAUGGUGGAAUCCAUGUCCCAUUGGCUCAGGAAUGCAGUGCUGUUGCCUUCCCGGGCAAUGACAAAUGACCAAAUGGCGCAUGAUCAAGACAUUGAUGUCUGAUUGGCAGUCAUGGUUCAAC